rnacentral:rRNA from 1 species
UACAGAGGGGGCAAGCGUUGUUCGGAAUUACUGGGCGUAAAGGGCGCGUAGGCGGCCCGUCAAGUCCCGUGUGAAAGCCCCCGGCUCAACCGGGGAACGGCGCGGGAAACUAGCAGGCUUGAGUUCGGGAGAGGGAAGCGGAAUUCCGGGUGUAGCGGUGAAAUGCGCAGAUAUCCGGAGGAACACCGGUGGCGAAGGCGGCGUUCCUGGA